UAGAGCCAGGUUUAAUUCCCAGCACCCAUGUGGUUGGUGGCUCACAACUGUCUGUAGCUCCAGUUGCAAAAGAUCCAACACCCUCUUCUGACCUUCAAGGGUACCAGACACACAUGUAGUACACAGAUACACUAAAACAAACAACCCUCCACCAGUAACAGCAACACUUGAUAGAUGUUUGCUUUCAUUGCAGAUUAGGGAGUUGAGGCUGAGACUAGAGUAGCUUAGCUCAUGUCUUCCUGUGGGGAAUGAGUCUGUGGGCAUGCAUAGUGAGCUCGGCGGAGCAGUGCCUAGCCCGAGACCAGAUACUCAGUGUUUGUUCCAUACCUGGGACCUGUGGCUAGGGCUGGUAAUCAAAGAACUGCCUUGUUCUCAGGCCUCUCAGCACAGGAAAUUCCAAGGUGGUUUUCUAUGCUGACCCCUCUUGUUAGGUCUCUGGAGGAUCCUGGUACCUAAAAUGACUUGAAGAAGGAAAUCAGAUAGCCCAGCCUGCCUAUCCGGGUCUCUGAAUAUCAAGGGGGUGCUGCUAUUUGGAGUGGCCUGGCUUGCUUUGGGCUCAAGUGGGCAUUUUCUUUGGCCCAUAGCCCUUACCCUGUCUCUGAAAUGGUUCUGGCUGAAUAACAACCUUGGGGGAGUGAGUGGGGGGUGUAAUUUGGUUUGGGGCGGAGACAGGAUUAAGAACACAGUUUUCCUUGUGACUCAGCACGGAGGGAGAGGGCAGGAGGAGUCUGGAGACCCUGUUUCUCACUUUGGUCAUCCUCGGCCCAAGAUGGUGUGGUUCCCAGUGCUCCUUGGUGUCAUCUUGUCUGUUUCCCCAGGGCCUACUGAGGCUGAACGUGACAUGCCCAAGCUGGCUGACUGGAAGCUGUGUGCGGAUGAGGAAUGCAGCCAUCCUAUCUCCAUGGCUGUAGCUCUUCAGGACUACAUAGCCCCGGACUGCCGCUUCUUGAACAUAUAUAGGGGCCAAGUGGUGUAUGUCUUCUCCAAGCUGAAGGGCCGUGGGCGGCUCUUCUGGGGAGGCAGUGUGAGUCUUCAGAGUGAAGGGUAUGGGGUUCAGGGAGAUUACUAUGGAGACCUGGCAGCCCGCCUGGGCUAUUUCCCCAGUACCAUUGUCCGGGAGGACCUGAUUCUGAAACCUGCCAAAAUUGACAUGAAGACAGAUGGUAUGUACCCAGGCUGGCCUCAAAAUCACUAGCCUUCGGCUUCAGCCUCUUGAGGGCUACUUCGUUUUCAGGCUGCUUCGUUUUCAGAAAUGGGAUUUCUACUGUCAGUGAACUCAGCCUACUGUUGUCCCUCCCAGCUUUGGCGUUAUUCAAAUACAGCAGCCAACUGCAAA